UCCUGCCACAGGCACUAAAGCAGGAAAUCAUUCCCAAGCAGAGGCAGGCAGCCCCUUUCCCGAGGAUGGCUCAAGGCUGAUGACAGCAAACCAAAGGCAUCUGGCUCCUGUCUGGCUCUGCCCGCAGUUCGGGGACUGUGUAACCUGAAGCAGCCGGGGCCAAGGUGCUGAACAGGCACAAUUUUCACUCUGCCUUGAAAAGAACUUUUCCAGACUUCAGAGGGAAGUGGAAAAGCAGAGGAGAUAAUUAGGGAGGAGGCUGCUCCCCUGCUACCGUUGGGGAUCAAGAGAUGUUUCCAUAUCCUCUGGACUCCAGUGGACCUCCUUGAAUCUGGCAGAUGAUCAGCACAGGGCCUUGAGGAGGAGAGGCUCACUUUGGUUUCCCUUUCCUCACUGGACGUUCAAGCAUGAUUGGGACCAUUCUGAUCCCUGGGUGGAUUGAGUCACGCUCGGUUGGCUUUGCUGGCUGAAACAUGCCUGGAACCAAAUUAGCCCUGAGCUUUCAGUGACCAAGAAGGAUGGAAGGGUUUGUUCUUAUCAGUAAUUGAUCAUGGAGCUAUUAAUGGAUGCAAAUGUAUUUGUUGGCUUGGCUUUGAUAAAUAACUUCUGGCUGCUCCUC